UACAGAGGUCCCAAGCGUUGUUCGGAUUCACUGGGCGUAAAGGGUGCGUAGGUGGCCAGGUAAGUUUGGUGUGAAAGCUCGGAGCUUAACUCCGAAAAGUCAUUGAAUACUAUCUGGCUGGAGGGUCGGAGGGGAGACUGGAAUUCUCGGUGUAGCAGUGAAAUGCGUAGAUAUCGAGAGGAACACCAGUGGCGAAGGCGGUUCUCUGGGCAUGUCCUGACGCUGAGGAGCGAAAGUGUGGGGAGCGAACAGG
rnacentral:rRNA from 1 species